rnacentral:rRNA from 1 species
GACGAACGCUGGCGGCGUGCUUAAUGCAUGCAAGUCGAACGAAGAGCCCCCUCUGGGUAACCAAAGGGGACCUCUUAGUGGCGAACGGGUGAGUAACACGUGAGAAACCUGCCCCGGAGAUCGGGAUAGCCCAGGGAAACCUGGAUUAAUACCGAAUACCCUCGAAUGGUCGCAUGUCCGAUCGAGGAAAUGGUCCGCCGCUCCGGGAUGGUCUCGCGUCCUAUCAGCUUGUUGGUGAGGUAACGGCUCACCAAGGCAACGACGGGUAGCUGGUCUGAGAGGACGAUCAGCCACACUGGGACUGAGACACGGCCCAGACUCCUACGGGAGGCAGCAGCAGGGAAUUUUGCACAAUGGGCGCAAGCCUGAUGCAGCGACGCCGCGUGGGGGAUGAAUGCCUUCGGGUUGUAAACCCCUUUCAGGAGGGACGAAGCGAAAGUGACGGUACCUCCAGAAGAAGCCCCGGCCAACUACGUGCCAGCAGCCGCGGUAAUACGUAGGGGGCGAGCGUUGUCCGG